CGACCGGCGCACGGGUGAGUAACACGUAUCCAACCUGCCGUCUACUCUUGGCCAGCCUUCUGAAGGAAGAUUAAUCCAGGAUGGGAUCAUGAGUUCACAUGUCCGCAUGAUUAAAGGUAUUUUCCGGUAGACGAUGGGGAUGCGUUCCGUUAGAUAGUAGGCGGGGUAACGGCCCACCUAGUCAACGAUGGAUAGGGGUUCUGAGAGGAAGGUCCCCCACAUUGGAACUGAGACACGGUCCAA
rnacentral:rRNA from 1 species